GGAAUUUUGGACAAUGGGCGCAAGCCUGAUCCAGCAAUGCCGCGUGUGUGAUGAAGGCCUUCGGGUUGUAAAGCACUUUUGGUGGGAACGAAACGGUCCGGGCUAAUACCCUGGACUAAUGACGGUACCCGCAGAAUAAGCACCGGCUAACUACGUGCCAGCAGCCGCGGUAAUACGUAGGGUGCAAGCGUUAAUCGGAAUUACUGGGCGUAAAGCGUGCGCAGGCGGUUUUGUAAGACCGAUGUGAAAUCCCCGGGCUUAACCUGGGAACUGCAUUGGUGACUGCAAGGCUUGAGUGUGUCAGAGGGAGGUGGAAUUCCGCGUGUAGCAGUGAAAUGCGUAGAUAUGCGGAGGAACACCGAUGGCGAAGGCAGCCUCCUGGGAUAACACUGACGCUCAUGCACGAAAGCGUGGGGAGCAAACAG
rnacentral:rRNA from 1 species